GAUGAACGCUGGCGGUGUGCCUAACACAUGCAAGUCGAGCGAACGGACGAGAAGCUCGUUUCCCUGCGGUUAGCGGCGGACGGGUGAGUAACACGUGGAUAACCAUCUUAUUAUACUGGGAUAACUUCGGGAAACCGGAGCCAAUAAUGCAGAAUACUAUGAACGGCAUGGAUCAAAAGAGAAUGACGCCUUUCCCGACUCUAUUAGCUGGUUCCGUGCUGGAUUAGCUAGUUGGUAAGGUAACGGCUCACCAAGGCAACGAUGCGUAGCCGACCUGAGAGGAUGAUCAGCCACACUGGAACUGAGACACGGUCCAGACUCCUACGGGAGGCAGCAGUAGGGAAUCUUGCGCAAUGGGCGAAAGCCUGACCGAGCAACACCGCGUGGGUGAUGAAGGUCUUCGGAUCGUAAAGCUCUUUUAUUGGGAAAGAACAUCUGUGUGAGAAUAUCUCGACGUCCUGACGGUACCUAAUGAAAAAGCCCCGGCUAACUUCGUG
rnacentral:rRNA from 1 species